rnacentral:rRNA from 1 species
UGGCGACCGGCGCACGGGUGCGUAACGCGUAUGCAACCUACCUUUAACAGGGGGAUAACACUGAGAAAUUGGUACUAAUACCCCAUAAUAUCAUAGAAGGCACCUUUUAUGGUUGAAAAUUCCGAUGGUUAGAGAUGGGCAUGCGUUGUAUUAGCUAGUUGGUGGGGUAACGGCUCACCAAGGCGACGAUACAUAGGGGGACUGAGAGGUUAACCCCCCACACUGGUACUGAGACACGGACCAG